AGACCGCCAGCUAAGGUCCCAAAGUCAUGGUUAAGUGGGAAACGAUGUGGGAAGGCCCAGACAGCCAGGAUGUUGGCUUAGAAGCAGCCAUCAUUUAAAGAAAGCGUAAUAGCUCACUGGUCGAGUCGGCCUGCGCGGAAGAUGUAACGGGGCUAAACCAUGCACCGAAGCUGCGGCAGCGACGCUGAUGCGUUGUUGGGUAGGGGAGCGUUCUGUAAGCCUGUGAAGGUGGCCUGUGAGGGUUGCUGGAGGUAUCAGAAGUGCGAAUGCUGACAUAAGUAACGAUAAAGCGGGUGAAAAGCCCGCUCGCCGGAAGACCAAGGGUUCCUGUCCAACGUUAAUCGGGGCAGGGUGAGUCGACCCCUAAGGCGAGGCCGAAAGGCGUAGUCGAUGGGAAACGGGUUAAUAUUCCCGUACUUGGUGUUACUGCGAAGGGGGGACGGAGAAGGCUAUGUUGGCCGGGCGACGGUUGUCCCGGUUUAAGCGUGUAGGUGUGUGUUCCAGGUAAAUCCGGUUCACUUUAACACUG
rnacentral:rRNA from 1 species